GAAUAUUAGUCAAUGCUCGAAAGAGUGAACUAGCUAACUGAAAUCAAUUAUAAAAAUUGAUAACAUAAGGGAAAAUAAUGAUAUUACCUUAUUAUUAGUGUCGUCCAAAACUGGUGCCAGAAGACUCGGUAAGGCCAGAGACACAAACGUUAAUCGUCUUAAUCAGGCGUAAAGGGUUUGUAGGCGGCUUUAAAAUUUACUUAUAAAUAAAAGGUGAAGAAACAAAGCUAGAAUCAAAUAGAGGAUAUAUGAAAGAAUGCUUAGAGUAGGUCUGAUAUCCUUAGAUACUAAGUAGAAUAUUAAAGGCGAAAGCUUUUUUCCAUUAAUGAUUGACGCUCAGAAACGAAGGUGAGGAUAGGAAAUAGGAUUAGAUACCCAAAAUACCCCUCUCUGUCAACGAUGAAUGGUAGUUAUUAGUAAAAAUUUAUUAAUGGCAAUGUUAACACGAUAACCAUUCCGCCUUGCGAGUACAACUGCAAAGUUGAAAACAAAAAAAUUAGUCGGUUUCGGAGCAAACGAAGUGAAGCAUGUUAUUUAAUUC
rnacentral:rRNA from 1 species